rnacentral:rRNA from 1 species
CUUUACUGUAGCUUUACAUUGGACUUUGAACAGAUCUGUGUAGGAUAGGUGGGAGGCUUUGAAACCGGGACGCUAGUUCCGGUGGAGCCAACGUUGAAAUACCACCCUGGUGUGUUUGAGGUUCUAACCUUGGCCCGUGAUCCGGGUUGGGGACAGUGUAUGGUAGGCAGUUUGACUGGGGCGGUCUCCUCCCAAAGCGUAACGGAGGAGUUCGAAGGUACGCUAGGCACGGUCGGAAAUCGUGCUGAUAGUGCAUAGGCAUAAGCGUGCUUGACUGCGAGACUGACAAGUCGAGCAGGUACGAAAGUAGGACUAAGUGAUCCGGUGGUUCUGUAUGGAAGGGCCAUCGCUCAACGGAUAAAAGGUA